rnacentral:lncRNA from 1 species
UGGUUUGGAUCCAUUGCUGGUUAGCCAGUGUGAUCUUUUGGGGGUGUUAAAGAAUGUUAUUUUGUCAUGCUGCCAGAAUUGUUUUUUUUUUUUUUUUUUUUUUUUUUUUUUUGGUUCCUUCUCAUUUAGGUAGACUGUCAGAAGUCACAUAUGAGACUCAAGGCUGCCGUUCAGAUUCUUUAGUCCCACGGGGUGCUCCCUUGAUUUGAUUCUCUACCCCUUCUUCUAGGGAUGGGGCUUCCUGAGAGCCGAUCUGAAGUGAUUUUUACUUCUCUUCUGGAAUUUAGCAGAUCUACCAGGCUCCACACUGAUACUGGGCAGUGUCUGCAGAGUUCUGUGAUUUGAUCCAUCUUCAGGUUUCUCAGCCAUGGAUACCAGCUUCUGCUCUGGUAGAAGUAAGCAAAGGAGUGAAACAGAUUCCGUGAGGGUCCUUGGUUUAUUUUUGCUAAGUGUGCUGGUUUUGUGUCAGUUAGUCUCCAGCCGGGAUGUGGCACUUUCAAGAGUGCAUCAACUGCAGUAGUAUAGAUAGGAUACAAGCUUGCCCUAGGGCCAGGCAUUGGGUGAGGUCAUAGAGCUCUCAAGACAUUAUGUCCUUGGUCUUCAACUACCAGGGUGGAUAGAGAAGAACUGUCAGGCAGCAGAUGAGCAAGGCUGAGAACGUGCCCCAGAGUACAAGUCUUUCAACUAAGAAGAUACGUCGACUCACAGUUCCUUGGCUGUCCCAUGGAGCCAGCAGCAGCAAUCCCCCUCCUUCAAAGGAUGUAUGGAGUAUCUCAGCUUUCCUGAACCCCCAGAUGGGACCAUCUAGCUGCAGGAAAACAAGGUCAGGGCUCCCACAGAUUCUGCACUAUGCCCGUGGAAAAAUUGUCUUCCAUGAAACCUGUCCCUGGUGCCAAAAAGAUCGAGGACCACUGAUGUACAGUAUUGUUGUGAUUGGUCUUUGGUCCUAAGUUUUCAUCCUUGCUUAUUUCUUAUAUAUAUUACAAUAAAAAUGUCUACAGGAACCAUUUU